CGGGGGGCAGCAGUGAGGAAUAUUGGUCAAUGGGCGCAAGCCUGAACCAGCCAUGCCGCGUGCAGGAAGAAUGUCCUAUGGAUUGUAAACUGCUUUUAUUUAGGAAUAAACCCCUUUACGAGUUAGAGGGCUGAAGGUACUAAAUGAAUAAGCACCGGCUAACUCCGUGCCAGCAGCCGCGGUAAUACGGAGGGUGCAAGCGUUAUCCGGAAUCAUUGGGUUUAAAGGGUCCGCAGGCGGAUUUAUAAGUCAGUGGUGAAAGCCUACAGCUUAACUGUAGAACUGCCAUUGAUACUGUAAGUCUUGAAUUCGGUCGAAGUGGGCGGAAUGUGUAGUGUAGCGGUGAAAUGCUUAGAUAUUACACAGAACACCGAUAGCGAAGGCAGCUCACUAGGCCUGGAUUGACGCUCAUGGACGAAAGCGUGGGGAGCAAACAGGAUUAGAUACCCCGGU
rnacentral:rRNA from 1 species